AUCGCCUUGAGGUCCACACGUCUGCUGUGAGAAUGCUUCUCAGUUGAGGAACUGCAAUCCAAGUGCCACAGGUCACAGCCUUCUCAAUACAUAGAUUUUGGAUAGUUUGGAGCAGAGUUAUUCAAAGUUUUUGUGUGCUAGAAUAAAAGGUAAGGCAUAUGAAUAAUAAUAAUAAUGGAGGGGAAUUCGAUGAGUAGCACGAGCAGUUUUUCUUAUCAACUUGAAACACAGGUGUAUGGGAACGGUAGUACUCGUGCAUAUAGCAAUUCAUCAACUACAGCUCUGCUUCAUCUUCUGCCGCCGUUGACAGAUGAUGGGGGUUCUCUAAAGUCUAGAGUCUAAAUUGUCGGAAAAUAUUCAGACUCGUUUCUAUAAGCGCGCGCGAGUUCUCCAGACUUGAGUGGCUACUCAGAAAGUGAAAAAAUAUCAAGUGAUCAUUGACGUUGUUGGUGGCAGCCAUUCAAGUAGCGCAUCUAAUUAUUCACGCCGUUAAUUCCAUCGACGGAUUUGAUCUGACGAGCUGUGCGGACAGCACUGGCAAAAAUUACGUGGUACUAGAUAAAGAUUUCACAGCUCGAACAAGAGAACACUAUUUUCGUGACUGGCAGUAAGGGAAGUAUCUAAAGGUGGCUGCUUAUCAUGGUUGUUGACUACCGAUCGAUGCCUGCAUAUGCUCAAAGUUCGUGUUAAUUAAAGUUGCAUUUUCAAGUCAGAGAGAACAGCAGAGAAAUUCUGAAAUGGCAGCCUUUGUUGCUCAAAACAAAUAAAAGCUGUUUUGUUAUUAAAUUGUAAUUUCUAUUGGUGUUGAAAGCGAAGCAAUUAAACUUUAUCAAUUCAGAGAAUCCCGCUUUGAUGCGAUAAACCAAUUAUCAUUAUUGUUAGGUGCCUGGUAUAUAUAUAUUUGAUAAUUACCAUUUACCUCUUUAUCAGCAAUAUUUGUUUCCUUUUUUAAUUAGGAAGUUUAGUACCCUCGUAAAAAAGUGUGAUCAAAGUAAUCUGAACUACUGUGAAUAAAUAAUUGCCACAAUUAAAGUGGUUCAUAUUAUGUUAGA